GAAAACAAGUGGCAGAACUGGCUUUAGGUGUAUCUCGGGAAAGUUAGGGAGCCAUUUUAAGCAACGUCAACUUGUCAAGAGGAAAAUAGUAGCCCAUAGAAAUCUUAGUGUCUUCGAAGAACUAUUAUAAGGCUUAUUGUGUUAUGUCUUAUGAUUUGUAGUUAUGGUGCUGGUGCGAAUCCACUGUUCAAGCUCGAUGGUCA
rnacentral:misc_RNA from 1 species